rnacentral:misc_RNA from 1 species
CUAAGGAGCAUCUGACGCCCUGUCAUGGGGUUGUUCAGGCGCCGGAUCAGACCGAAUGUGUCUGCCGGUUAGCUCAUGGGUGGAACAUUUGACUUGGUGCUCAUUCGAUUCAUUUGGGUCUAGUACGCAGCUUGCUGUGGGAACGGUCUGGGUGGUGAGGGUGGGUACAUGCACGCUGUUGGGUCCUGAGGGGCCGGGCGCUGAUUGCGUCAGUCGUUUGGCUGGUGUGGUUGGUGUUUGUUCCUCUUGGGCCUGUUCUGGUGCCGGUGUUUCGGUGGCUGGGGUGGGUUCCGCCCGUACUUUGAGAACUACACAGUGGACGCGAGCAUCUUCGAGUCAGUCUUUGGCUGGCUCGUGAAGAUGAUCUUAAAGACCAUUGGUCAAUUUUUUGACGAUUCAACUCAUGUGAU